GCGCCCGUAGCUCAGCUGGAUAGAGCAACGCCCUUCUAAGGCGUUGGUCGAAGGUUCGAAUCCUUCCGGGUGCG
rfam:Pseudoalteromonas lipolytica SCSIO 04301 genomic scaffold Scaffold2, whole genome shotgun sequence.